rnacentral:rRNA from 1 species
AUUGAACGCUGGCGGCAGGCUUAACACAUGCAAGUCGAGCGAGCGGCGGACGGGUGAGUAAUGUCUGGGAAACUGCCUGAUGGAGGGGGAUAACUACUGGAAACGGUAGCUAAUGCCGCAUACCAUCAGAUGUGCCCAGAUGGGAUUAGCUAGGAGGUGGGUUAAAGGCUUACCGAGGCGACGAUCCCUAGCUGGUCUGAGAGGAUGACCAGCCACACUGGAACUGAGCCACGGUCCAGACUCCGACGUGAGGCAGCAGUGUGGAAGAUUGCACAAUGUGCGCAAGCCUGCUGCAGACAUGCCGCGUGUAUGAAGAAGGCCUUCGGGUUGUAAAGUACUUUCAGCGGGGAGGCGUUACCCGCAGAAGAAGCACCGGCUAACUCCGUGCCAGCAGCCGCGGUAAUUC